AGAGUUUGAUCCUGGCUCAGAUUGAACGCUGGCGGCAGGCUUAACACAUGCAAGUCGAGCGGAAACGAUGGGAGCUUGCUCCCAGGCGUCGAGCGGCGGACGGGUGAGUAAUACUUAGGAAUCUGCCCAGUAGUGGGGGAUAGCUCGGGGAAACUCGAAUUAAUACCGCAUACACCCUACGGGGAAAAGGGGGCGCUUGCGCUCUCGCUAUUGGAUGAGCCUAAGUCGGAUUAGCUAGUUGGUGGGGUAAAGGCCUACCAAGGCGACGAUCUGUAGCUGGUCUGAGAGGAUGAUCAGCCACACCGGGACUGAGACACGGCCCGGACUCCUACGGGAGGCAGCAGUGGGGAAUAUUGGACAAUGGGGGCAACCCUGAUCCAGCCAUGCCGCGUGUGUGAAGAAGGCCUUUUGGUUGUAAAGCACUUUAAGCAGUGAAGAAGACCUAACGGUUAAUACCCGUUAGCGAUGACAUUAGCUGCAGAAUAAGCACCGGCUAACUCUGUGCCAGCAGCCGCGGUAAUACAGAGGGUGCAAGCGUUAAUCGGAAUUACUGGGCGUAAAGCGAGCGUAGGUGGCUUGAUAAGUCAGAUGUGAAAUCCCCGGGCUUAACCUGGGAACUGCAUCUGAUACUGUUGGGCUAGAGUAGGUGAGAGGGAGGUAGAAUUUCAGGUGUAGCGGUGAAAUGCGUAGAGAUCUGAAGGAAUACCGAUGGCGAAGGCAGCCUCCUGGCAUCAUACUGACACUGAGGUUCGAAAGCGUGGGUAGCAAACAGGAUUAGAUACCCUGGUAGUCC
rnacentral:rRNA from 1 species